AUGACAGAUACAAUGUCUAGACUGUCCUCGGUUGCUUCUCUUCGACUACCAGCCAUUCAGCACCCGUUAUCAAGACUCAUAGACCCAGAAACCCUCUCUCUCAGAGGCUACUCCAGAAAUUACGCUGGGAGUGACGAAGUUGUACCGCCGCUGUUGCGGGAUGUGGACCUCGACUUUGUUUUCCGAGGUCAAAACACAAGAAGGGCCACAGGUUAUCCUUAUGACAAGGCUCCGCCGAAGCAGAGCAGUUUCAGCCUGGUCUCGCAGCCAAUCCCCGAAGGAGUCGAAGUCUCAGUAGCCCUUGAUCCGGUUAAACCACGGCUGCCCAUCUUUGGUCAGCGGGUGGCACCAGAGAGCAGGGGGAGCCGAGUCACCAGCCUAACCAGUACCAUUAAAACCAGCAUCACCAGCCAAACCAAUACCAGCAGAACCAGUAUCCUUACCAGAACUACUACCGCAGCCUCCUGCCCUGAGGCCCAGCUCAGGAUCCAAGUGGACCAGGUACUGUCCCUCCCUCUUUCCGCCUCUCUCCUUUCAUCCGUUUUUGGUCUCUUUUUCCCUAUUUUCACUACAUUUCACUCCAUCUGACAUCUCCUAUUCAACUUCUCUCCAUUUUUCAAGGGUGCUUAUUCCUGUUCA
rnacentral:lncRNA from 1 species